CUCAGCCCUGGAUUCCAGCUGACCCCAUUUACUGAUCAUCACUGGACACAGAACACACACCAUGGAGUUGGGGUUCAGCUGGAUUUUCCUUGUUGCUAUUUUAAAAGGUGUCCAGUGUGAGGUGCAGCUGGUGGAGUCUGGGGAAGGCUUGGUGAAGACUGGCGGGUCCCUGAAACUCUCCUGUGCAGCCUCUGGAUUCACCUUCAGUGAUUACUGGAUGUACUGGUUCCGCCAGGCUCCAGGGAAGGGGCUGGAGUGGGUCUCACGCAUUAAAAACAAAGAUGAUAAUUAUGGAACAGAUUACAGUGCGUCUGUGAAAGACAGAUUCACUAUUUCCAGAGAUGACGCCAAAAGCAAUAUGUACCUGCAAAUGACAAGCCUGAGAGAGGAGGACACGGCCGUGUAUUACUGUGCAAGACACACA